UGCGUGAGGGGCGAACGUUGUUCGGUGUCACUGGGCUUAAAGGGUGCGUAGGUGGUUGCGUAAGUAAGGUGUGAAAUCCCUCGGCUUACCCGGGGAAUUGCAUUUUAUACUGCGUGGCUUGAGGACUAAAGGGGAAAAGGGAACCUCCAGGUGUAGCGGUGAAAUGCGCAGAUAUCUGGGGGAAGGCCGGCGGCGAAGGCGCUUUUCUGGUUAGUACCUGACACUGAGGCACGAAAGCGUGGGGAGCAAACAGG
rnacentral:rRNA from 1 species